rnacentral:sRNA from 3 species
AUGUACCAGUGUGCACUCCGGUUCCUGCGCGCCGUCCACGCCCACCUGACGACUGCUCGCGACGUCUUGGUAACC